rnacentral:rRNA from 1 species
AGAGUUUGAUCAUGGCUCAGAUUGAACGCUGGCGGCAUGCCUUACACAUGCAAGUCGAACGGUAACGGGCCUUCGGGUGCCGACGAGUGGCGAACGGGUGAGUAAUGUAUCGGAACGUACCUUUCAGUGGGGGAUAACGUAGCGAAAGUUACGCUAAUACCGCAUAUUCUGUGAGCAGGAAAGCAGGGGAUCGCAAGACCUUGCGCUGAUUGAGCGGCCGAUAUCAGAUUAGCUAGUUGGUGAGGUAAAGGCUCACCAAGGCGACGAUCUGUAGCGGGUCUGAGAGGAUGAUCCGCCACACUGGAACUGAGACACGGUCCAGACUCCUACGGGAGGCGGCAGUGGGGAAUUUUGGACAAUGGGGGCAACCCUGAUCCAGCCAUGCCGCGUGAGUGAAGAAGGCCUUCGGGUUGUAAAGCUCUUUCGGCCGGGAAGAAAUUGCAUGGGUUAAUACCCUGUGCGGAUGACGGUACCGGCAUAAGAAGCACCGGCUAACUACGUG